AGUGAAUAGAUACCCGGGUAGUCCCAGCCGUAAACGAUGCUCGCUAGGUGUCAGGCAUGGCGCGACCGUGUCUGGUGCCGCAGGGAAGCCGUGAAGCGAGCCACCUGGGAAGUACGGCCGCAAGGCUGAAACUUAAAGGAAUUGGCGGGGGAGCACAACAACGGGUGGAGCCUGCGGUUUAAUUGGACUCAACGCCGGACAACUCACCGGGGGCGACAGCAAUAUGUAGGCCAAGCUGAAGACUUUGCCUGAAUCGCUGAGAGGAGGUGCAUGGCCGUCGCCAGUUCGUACUGUGAAGCAUCCUGUUAAGUCAGGCAACGAGCGAGACCCGUGCCCACUGUUACCAGCAUGUCCUUUGGGAUGAUGGGUACUCUGUGGGGACCGCCGGUGUCAAAUCGGAGGAAGGUGCGGGCCACGGUAGGUCAGUAUGCCCCGGAAUCUCCCGGGCUACACGCGGGCUACAAUGAAU
rnacentral:rRNA from 1 species